GGGCCCGUAGCAUAAUGGUAGUGUACCCGGUUUGCAUCCGGGGUGUGGGAGUCCGAUUCUCCCCGGGUCCACCA
rnacentral:tRNA from 2 species